rnacentral:rRNA from 1 species
CCUACGGGGGGCUGCAGUGGGGAAUAUUGGACAAUGGGGGCAACCCUGAUCCAGCCAUGCCGCGUGUGUGAAGAAGGCCCUCGGGUUGUAAAGCACUUUCAGUGAGGAAGAACGCCUGGUGGUUAAUACCCAUCAGGAAAGACAUCACUCACAGAAGAAGCACCGGCUAACUCCGUGCCAGCAGCCGCGGUAAUACGGAGGGUGCGAGCGUUAAUCGGAAUUACUGGGCGUAAAGCGCGCGUAGGUGGCUUGAUAAGCCGGUUGUGAAAGCCCCGGGCUCAACCUGGGAACGGCAUCCGGAACUGUCAAGCUAGAGUGCAGGAGAGGAAGGUAGAAUUCCCGGUGUAGCGGUGAAAUGCGUAGAGGUCGGGAGGAAUACCAGUGGCGAAGGCGGCCUUCUGGACUGACACUGACACUGAGGUGCGAAAGCGUGGGUAGCAAACAGGAUUAGAUACCCUGGUAGUC